rnacentral:rRNA from 1 species
CUGGUAGACUUGUCUACAUGUGCACACUCUGAUCUAUCAUUCACUUCAUAUACCUGUGCACUCUUUGUAGGGAAUGCAAUGGGAAACCAUUGCUUCUCUAUGUUUUUAUAUAUACCCUAUUGUAUGUCUUCAGAAUGUCUUGUAUUUGUUUGCCGUAAAAAGCAUUCAAAAUAAAUUAUAACUUUCAGCAACGGAUCUCUUGGCUCUCGCAUCGAUGAAGAACGCAGCGAAAUGCGAUAAGUAAUGUGAAUUGCAGAAUUCAGUGAAUCAUCGAAUCUUUGAACGCACCUUGCGCUCCUUGGUAUUCCGAGGAGCAUGCCUGUUUGAGUGUCAUUAAAUUCUCAACCCCUUCAGCUUUUGUUGAGUGGGGAUUGGACUUGGAGUGUGCCGGCGUCAAGUCGGCUCCUCUUUAAAUGCAUUAGUGGUUAUCAUAGAGUCUAUAUAGCUUCACGGGACGGUGUGAUAGUUUAUCUACGCCUCUAAGCCUGUUGAAGUGGAUGAUAUAACAACUGCUUCCAACUGUCUUUGGACAAACAUUUUAUUUAAAUUGACCUCAAAUCAGGUAGGAUUACCCGCUGAACUUAAGCAUAUCAA